rnacentral:rRNA from 1 species
UACGUAGGGUGCGAGCGUUAAUCGGAAUUACUGGGCGUAAAGCGUGCGCAGGCGGUAAUGUAAGACAGAUGUGAAAUCCCCCGGGCUUAACCUGGGACCUGCAUUUGUGACUGCAUUGCUGGAGUGCGGGCAGAGGGGGAUGGAAUUCCGCGUGUAGCAGUGAAAUGCGUAGAUAUGCGGAGGAACACCGAUGGCGAAGGCAAUCCCCUGGGCCUGCACUGACGCUCAUGCACGAAAGCGUGGGGAGCAAACAGG